CCCAACGACCGUACCGCAAACCGACACUGGUGCGCGAGAUGAGUAUUCUAAGGCGCUUGAGAGAACUCAGGAGAAGGAACUCGGCAAAUUGACACCGUAACUUCGGAAGAAGGUGUGCCCUAUUAGUGUGAAGUGAACAACAGAGCAUGAAUGGGUUGCAAAAAAUCGGUGGCUGCGACUGUUUAUUAAAAACACAGCACUCUGCAAACACGAAAGUGGACGUAUAGGGUGUGACGCCUGCCCGGUGCUGGAAGAUUAAAUGAUGGGGUGCAAGCUCUUGAUUGAAGUCCCAGUAAACGGCGGCCGUAACGAUAACGGUCCUAAGGUAGCGAAAUUCCUUGUCGGGUAAGUUCCGACCUGCACGAAUGGCGUAACGAUGGCCACACUGUCUCCUCCUGAGACUCAGCGAAGUUGAAAUGUUUGUGAUGAUGCAAUCUCCCCGCGGAAAGACGGAAAGACCCCAUGAACCUUUACUGUAGCUUUGUAUUGGACUUUGAACAGAUCUGUGUAGGAUAGGUGGGAGGCUUUGAAGCAGGGUCGCUAGAUCUUGUGGAGCCAACGUUGAAAUACCACCCUGGUGUGUUUGAGGUUCUAACCUAGGUCCAUUAUCUGGAUCGGGGACAGUGCAUGGUAGGCAGUUUGACUGGGGCGGUCUCCUCCCAAAGCGUAACGGAGGAGUUCGAAGGUACGCUAGUUACGGUCGGACAUCGUGACGAUAGUGCAAUGGCAUAAGCGUGCUUAACUGCGAGACUGACAAGUCGAGCAGAUGCGAAAGCAGGACAUAGUGAUCCGGUGGUUCUGUAUGGAAGGGCCAUCGCUCAACGGAUAAAAGGUACUCUGGGGAUAACAGGCUGAUACCGCCCAAGAGUUCAUAUCGACGGCGGUGUUUGGCACCUCGAUGUCGGCUCAUCUCAUCCUGGGGCUGUAGCCGGUCCCAAGGGUAUGGCUGUUCGCCAUUUAAAGAGGUACGUGAGCUGGGUUUAAAACGUCGUGAGACAGUUUGGUCCCUAUCUUCCGUGGGCGCUGCAGAUUUGAGGAAGCCUGCUCCUAGUACGAGAGGACCGGAGUGGACACACCUCUGGUGUAUCGGUUGUCACGCCAGUGGCAUUGCCGAGUAGCUAAGUGUGGAAGAGAUAACCGCUGAAAGCAUCUAAGCGGGAAACUCGUUUCAAGAUGAGAUCUGCCGGGGCCUUGAGCCCCCUGAAGAGUCGUUCAAGACCAGGACGUUGAUAGGUCAGGUGUGGAAGCGCAGUAAUGCGUUAAGCUAACUGAUACUAAUUGCUCGUGCGGCUUGAUC
rnacentral:rRNA from 1 species